UAGCUUUGUAUUUUUCCUUUGUGGUGAUUUUUCUUUAUUCUCUUGUACUUGAAAAUUAUUUAAUCAAUGAAAUCAUAUUCUUCUUUAUAAAGGGUCCCUCAUUUUUUUUUUUUGUAUUCUUUUCCUUCUUUUUUGUCUUCUUGUAUUAAUUUGAGUCAUGGCACUCUUGUCUUCCAACGACAGUACCCUGCCGAAGCUCUUUCCCUA
rnacentral:lncRNA from 1 species